rnacentral:tRNA from 1 species
GAGGGUGUAGCUCAGCGGUAGAGCGCAUGCUUAGCAUGCAGGGGGCCCUGGGUUCCAUCCUCAGGACCUCCA